AACGAACGCUGGCGGCGUGCCUAACACAUGCAAGUCGAGCGCGAAUGGAGCAAUCCUAGUAGAGCGGCGCACGGGUGCGUAACACGUGGGUAAUCUGCCCUGAAGCCCGGAAUAACCUGCCGAAAGGCAAGCUAAUACCGGAUAAGCCUACGGUCCCCUCGGGGACUGAAAGAAAAGGUGGCCUCUGCAUGCAAGCUAUCACUUCAGGAUGAGCCCGCGGCCCAUCAGCUCGUUGGCGGGGUAACGGCCCACCAAGGCAACGACGGGUAGCUGGUCUGAGAGGACGAUCGGCCGCACUGGAACUGAGACACGGUCCAGACUCCUACGGGAGGCAGCAGUGGGGAAUUUGACGCAAUGGGCGAAAGCCUGACGCAGCAACGCUGCGUGUGUGAUGAAGGUCUUCGGAUUGUAAAGCACUUUCGACCGGGACGAAAACCCGCUGGCCAAUAUCCAGCGGCUUGACGGUACCGGGAGAAGAAGCACCGGCUAACUCUGUGCCAGCCGCCGCCGUAA
rnacentral:rRNA from 1 species